rnacentral:misc_RNA from 1 species
AAGUCGUAACAAGGUUUCCGUAGGUGAACCUGCGGAAGGAUCAUUAAUGCUUUUUUUUUUCCUUUUUUUUCCUUCUCUAAACGAGAUGGCAAGUGAACUUUGCAUUUCAACAUCUGCAAAAAAAAAAGAAAACAAAAAAGAACAAAAAAAACCAAAAGAAGAAACAACACAAGAAGUGAAGAAUGCCUUUUUUUUCUCUUUUCUUCUUCGUUGUGUUCUUUUUUUUCUUUUUUCUUUCUUUUUUUGUUUUUCUUUUUUUUUUCAUUCCUUUUUUUUCAAUCCCAACAACCAAAAAACCAAAUGAAACACAUUGACAAAAACCAAUAACCAAAUCAAACAAAACAAAAAAACAACUCUUAACAAUGGAUAUCUCGGCUCUC